rnacentral:lncRNA from 1 species
UCAUUAUUUGCAUUUGAACGUGGAGCCAAAUUCGAUGCACAUGCAUAUUAUCGCUCAACUACCGGACUGUCUUCUUGUUAGGCCCAAAAGGUCCAUCAUUCUUGACGAGCUCUCGGCGCCGAUGGUGGCGAGCCAUCGAUUUUGGAGCAUGGUCGAACAUUGCUGAGUUUGACGUUCAAAUCUAAGCACGUUGUUUUGCGAACGUACGUGUAGUAGAAAGAAAAAAAAAAUGAUAUUCCUUGAAACAAUCAACCAACAAUUCAUAAAUCGAAAAUCAAUCACACAACGAACUCGGUUCGAAGGAUUGUCACGUGAUACUCCUCCGUUCCUAAAUACUUGUCGUGGUUUUAGUGAACGGAGGAAAUACUAUAAUUGGUUCCUGCCAAAAUAUCUAUAGAAGUAAAUUUCACGAAACAACAGUUUUCGAGGCAGUCUUCUCAUGGAGCCCAAGUUUUUGCUAUUUUGACAGGAAAACCACACAUUUUGAGUCUAAAUGUCUCAAGUGGCCCAAAUCAGAUGG